AUGCGUAUUAAUAUACAAGCCAGCAAGGUGGAAGAUUAGCGAACUGCUCUAAUUUUAAUUUUUUAAACGCAAGUUGAUAAAAAUGGCCACCAAACAAGAGCCAAAUGCCUACUUAGAAGAGCUUAAAAUGGAAAUGCAGCAAACUAAUCCUAGCUCACAUUCAGGUCGAUUAUUAUCUCAGGAAAUCUCACGGAUUGAGAAAGGAGAAUCCAAAGAUCGGAUCAUUCCAUGGAUAACUAUUCACAAUGAUCAGCCUCAGCAUGUUGCUGUCCGAGUCCGCAUUCCAAUCAAAGAACAUCCUAAGUACAACUUCGUUGGAAAGUUGCUGGGACCAAAGGGAGCCUCUCUAAAACAAAUACAAGAAGAAACUGGAACGAAAAUGUCAAUUUUAGGCAAGGGUUCUAUGCGAGACAAAAACAAGGAAGAGGAAUGUCGUAAAGAAGGUGGCAAGUUCGCCCAUUUAAAUGAUGAUCUUCAUGUUCUGGUGGAAGUGUUCUCUGAAAACACUGAUGCGUAUGCCAGAUUAGCACAAGGGCUAGCAGAGCUGAAGAAAUACUUAGUUCCAGACUACAACGAUGAGAUUCGUAUGCAGCAGUUUGACAUGAUGGGUUACAUGUCUAACGGCCAGCCACCGAUUCGUGGUGGUCCAGGAGGGGGACGUGGUGUCCGGGGGGCCCCACGUGGUGCACCGCGAGGUCGUGGAGGGCCCCCAGGUGCUUCACCUGGGGGAAGGGGUGCCCCCGGUGGUAGAGGAGCGCCUGCUCCAAGAGGGAUGUCUCGUGGAAUGCCAAGAGGUGCGCCAGCAGCUCGAGGUCGCGGGGUCCCGCGAGAACCUCCAGCAUUCGAGGACCCUUACAGUGCUGCGGGAUUUGAAGAUCCAUACGCAAGUGCCGGUGUCGGCAGUGGCUAUGGAGAGGCAGAGUAUGACCCAGCAUAUGGUGGUGCAAGUGACACACAGUACUUUGAUUAUGGCCAUGGAUCUGGAGGAACUGGUGCAGGUGCUUAUGAAGACUAUAGUGGCGGUUGGGGAACGUCUGGUGGCGGACCAGUCAAGCCAUCAGCUGGUCGUGGAAUGAGGGCACGCACACAUCCGUACGGAGCCCCCCGAGGUGGUGGCGGAUACUAAAGUGCUUGUGUUGGUGCUUGUGGCCAUAUCAUCAGUUGAAAUCAUUCAUCACUUGUCUUGUCAUAUGAACAGUUGUACAUGUUGAGCAAAUAAAGAGAUGAAAAGCUGCAGAAUUGACCGGCCCUAAAAGAUAAGAGGUAACGAAGGAACAAAAAUAAAACUGGAUUCCAACAAAUUUUAAACAGGUAACGUGGCUAGUUUUGUUUAAUGUUUUCACUUAACCACAUCGGUCGACUGAAGUGUGACCAGCUGUCUCAAAAUAACAAAUGAACAAAUGUAGUUGUGUAGUUUAAUAACUUAAUUUUAAUGUAUAUAAUUUUGUAAAGGCUAAAUGUAAAUACAAACAUUAUGCAGUCAUGAUACAAAUGAAUAGUUUUUUAAAAAAAUUACAUACUAGUAAUUCUAACAAUAUUGUUUAUUUCUAAAAGAAUGUUACAUUAAAUUAUUAAUGAUCAUUUUUAAAUAGACUAGAAAAGAAAAUUAAAAAAUAUUUUUAGAUACUUAAGAUGUAUAUAUGCUUUUUUGUUUGUUUAUUGAACAGGCUUUGCAUUUUUCUGUAAGAGUGACCAAGUGAACAAAUUGAAACUUAUUAAAAAGGGAAAAACAUUGGUUGAUUAUAUACAAAUUAAGAAAAAAAAGAAGUCAUUUGGUAAUGGUUAAAAUGCAAGGCCUGUACAUGUGCAUGAUGGGUUUAUGGUAUUAUAUUGGACUCUGUUGUCCUACAGCAGUUUCAAUGUGCAUGUAUUGGUUAUUUUUUUUUAUUAAUAUUUUUUUGUUUUGUUUUACCAUUUCUCCUUUUGAUCCUUUACGAGCAAUGACAAUGAAAUUGUUUUGGGUCAAACUUGGCAUUUUAGUACUUGCUCAUGUAUUCUGUUUGAUAGCUCUAAAUUAGAGAUAAAAAUCACUUUGAUAUUGCCACAAUUCUGGAUUUGAGCGCAACCUGGAAAUUUCAGUAGUUAUUUCAAGUGUUGAUGUUCGAACUAAGAUGUUCAAAGGCAAAUGGAUAACAUAAUAGUUUAUAUUCAUAGUCUCACUUUGGAUGUAAUCGGCGUUAUCCCUGGGUUGAGUGAGAUCCAUCCUUUCAACGUACACUUGUAGUAAUCAAUGACUGGAUAUAUUCUGUGCUGUUGCUGAAGUGUGGAUAAAAUGCCCCAAGCUGCUAAUUGAAAUCUGACAGCAGUGGGUGGUUUUUUUUUGUUUUUGUUUUUUAAAAACCUUUAUCACACUUGUGCUGAUGUCAUUAAAGUUUUCAUUAUUGACCUUGAAGGGUGUUUUGAAUUUGGCCACCCAUACCUACUGACGUAUGCUGAGUCUGCUUGAUGCAUGAAUCUCUAUUUCUGCACACAGCUGGGGAGCAGCUUUUCAUGUGUUCUGUUCUCUUCACUGCCUAUCUGCAUUGUAAUUACAGUUACUGUAAAUAAAUCCAAGGCGAUGUCCAGUUUGUUCAUAGGUUUUCAGAAUAUUAAUACUAAAUCUCGGGGCCCUACAUUAACUCUCGACAUCAGUUUUUACUUGACCUAUCUGAAUUGUGCUUGCACCACCCUGUUUUGGUUAAAAUAAAAGUGAAACCAUUUUAAAGUUGAUUUUCAGUUCACUUGUCCAGCUGGACAAGUUGUUUGAAUUCCCAAACUAGGGCAAGCAGACAAGCUUUAACGUAGGGCCCUGUGAAUUCUCAUAAUGGUGAAUUUCACUGUUUAUUUUGUUUUCUUGAGAACUUUUUCAUGUAUUAUGACAAAAGUAUUGUCUCAUUGUGUAUUCGAUAGUUUUAGAUCUUAUUCUCCCAUACUUUAAAUGUAUUUAAAAUGUGUAACUAUUUGAUUUUUUUUUUUCAUGGGCAAAAGUUAAAAACAUUGGUAUAUAACUGAAAAAUCUUGUAAAAUAUUUUAGUCCAGUAUUAAUAUUAAUAUUCAUUACUUGCUCUGUAAUUUAAAAUUUGUUUAGAUAUUGAUUUAUAUUAAAACAAAUUAUUCAUACCUAAGAAGACCGAAACUGAAAACCUUCCAGGAUUGAUGUAAAUAGGGAAAUUAUUUUACUCACUUCUUUCACUAUAGGUUUCAAAGUUACAUACAACCGUCUUAUAUAUAUUUAAUUACUAUAACAGCAUUGUAAAGUAGUGUAUGGGAGGGAGUUUUGGUUUUAUUUGGUCAUUCAUCGACUUGUUUUCGUUUUUUGCAGGUGCAGUAUGGUGGAAACUGCAGCAUUUAUGUUUUUGAAAGAAAAUGCAAUCACUGAAUAAAUUUUAUUUUUAUACUAAA